rnacentral:rRNA from 1 species
GAUGAACGCUAGCGGCAGGCCUAAUACAUGCAAGUCGAACGGUAGAUCGGGUAGCAAUACUUGAUUGAGAGUGACGUAAGGGUGCGUAACACGUAUGCAAUCUACCCUCAACAGGAGUAUAGCUCGGGGAAACUCGGAUUAACACUCCAUAACAUUACGAUGUGGCAUCACAUUGUGAUUAAAACUCCGGUGGUUGAGGAUGAGCAUGCGUCUGAUUAGUUAGUUGGAGGUGUAACGGACCCCCAAGACGAUGAUCAGUAGGGGAACUGAGAGGUUGAUCCCCCACACUGGCACUGAGAUACGGGCCAGACUCCUACGGGAGGCAGCAGUAGGGAAUAUUGGUCAAUGGGUGAGAGCCUGAACCAGCCAUGCCGCGUGCAGGAAGACGGCCUUCUGGGUUGUAAACUGCUUUUUAUCUGGGGAUAAAAAGCCCAUGCGUGGGACAUUGAAGGUACCAGAUGAAUAACGCACCGGCUAACU